rnacentral:rRNA from 1 species
UAAGGAAUAUUGGUCAAUGGACGCAAGUCUGAACCAGCCAUGCCGCGUGAAGGAUGAAGGCCCUCUGGGUUGCAAACUUCUUUUAUCUGGGAAGAAAUGCCCGUUUUUAAUGGGUUUGACGGUACCAGAGGAAUAAGCACCGGCUAACUCCGUGCCAGCAGCCGCGGUAAUACGGAGGGUGCAAGCGUUAUCCGGAUUCACUGGGUUUAAAGGGUGCGUAGGUGGGUUGGUAAGUCAGUGGUGAAAUCUCCGCGCUUAACAUGGAAACUGCCAUUGAUACUACUGAUCUUGAAUUUUCUGGAGGUAAGCGGAAUAUGUCAUGUAGCGGUGAAAUGCUUAGAUAUGACAUAGAACACCAAUUGCGAAGGCAGCUUGCUACAGGGAUAUUGACACUGAGGCACGAAAGCGUGGGGAUCAAACAGGAUUAGAUACCCUGGUAGUCCACGCCCUAAACGAUGGAUACUCGACAUUUGCGAUACACAGUAAGUGUCUGAGCGAAAA